UCAGUCAGUCAGCUGUGUUGGAUUUGUUGAUGUCUAUAAAAACAGUAAUGGAAAGCGGUAAUACGGAAAUUGAAGAGACCUCAGUUGUAGCCGCAAUCAAGCCCGAGACCAAGGUACUGUCAAUUGGAGAUGACGAAGACCUAAUUAGAGACAAGUCAGAAGAAAACAAGGAAAACUCAUUUCAUGAUGCUGUUCGAAAACGUUUGUGUGCACUAACAACGGGUAUUAAAAGUCCCCUCGAGCCUAUUGUAAUAGGGAGUUCAGUGAAUAACUUUGGUGCGGCUCGUAUUAUGAAAAAUAAUAAGCCCAGUCAAUAUCGUUUUUACUGUCUAAAAGGCAACGAUUGGAGAUCUCAUAUGAUUAUAUCUGGCCUAACAUUCAAUGCAAAGGAUGCUUUUAAAUAUGUGAAAAAUAGACUAAAAGAGGAAACCUGGAUAUCUGAGGAUACCAUAGAAGCUCCACUGAAAACAAACGGUAAUGGUGGCUUUCGCCUCGAAUCCGAUUUGUAUAUUCAAAAUAUUGUUGCGGAAGCACUUGAUGCAGAAUGGAAAAGGUUGCUUAAUUUCAUAAUAUUUUUACACAGAAAUUAUCGAUAAUAUUCUAAUAUAUGAAGACCAAUCUGAUAGCAUAAAAGUGUAUUGCAGCUUUAUCUAGCUGAAACGAAAAGCUUUAAUUGAAAGCUUUUGCCACAGUUGCGAAAUUACUAACGAUUAGUAUUUGGCCGGCUGCAGUGUAUAUAUAGCGUCAUCGAAGACUGUUGCCAAUAAGAAAGCUACAGAUAGUCAAGCCGAGCAGUUCCAAAAUUACAAUAAUAAUAAAUAAUAUGAAUAUCGAAAACGAGAUAGAAGAUAAAAAUGCUCUGGCGACACAGACAUCGACUACAAAAGUUUUGGCCAUAGGAAAUCCGACAGAGGUCAUAAAUUGCCCAAGCCCGGAACAUACUAAAAAUAAUAAUAAUAAUUCCAACAAGGUAAAACAAUUUAAAGAGGAAUGCACCAAUUAUUUGAGUUUAGUUCUGAUGGGAAAUCCAACGCCAGUCGACGAUGUCAGCGGCUUGUGUCCCAUUGAAUGGUUUGGAAUGGAAGUUAUCCGCAAAGCGAAUCAGCCUACUUGUUAUAAGUUUUACUGUUUUCCCGCACAGAGAACCCAACCUAAGCACGUUAAUGUAUAUUACUUCUACCAGACAAUUAAUGCAAAUGCCAUUUUGCGCGAUGUUAGGCGAUUUUUGAAGGAGGAACGUUGGAUGUCUAAACAUCUUUUAAUGGGGCCACUGAAGGCAAAACUAACUCCUAGUGCCUUUAGCUCUGAGCAAACUCAUAUUGAAACUUUUAUUUCUAAGGCCUUCGAUAUUGAGAGAAGGAAGGCAUUACCGUACCUGUUGUACUGUCACAGAGAACAUGUACAAAAUAAGAAGUAUCGUAAAUAAAUUAAAUAAUAGCUGUACUUUAUGUAUAUUUUAAAAUUUUCAUUAAUAUAAGCAAAACAACAAACUUACAGAUCUCUCAUUUCUGAGGACGUAAUAUAUCUACACGAAAACAUUACUGUAAGCUCAAGCGAACAGCUGUUGGAUGUAAACAACAAACUUAAAAAAAAUAAUAAUGAUACGAAAAGCUUUAAGAGAGUAGCUUACAUACAUAUAUAUAUGUACAUGUACGAAUAAAUAGCAAUACGAUUUCAAAGUGAGAUGCAUAUGUGUAAACGUAAGCGAAAAGUAAACAUGGAAAUCAAUAAAACAGAAAUUGAAGAAAAGUCAGCCAUAGCUAAAUUGACAUAUACUCAAAAAGUAUUAUCAAUUGGAGAUGACGAAAGCACAGCGAGUGAAAAAUCUGUUGAGAAUCGUAACGCGGAUAUUUUACAAGAGAGUUUCAGAAAACAUUUGUGCCAGCUCUUAACUGGGAGCCGAAUAGCCAUCGAAGUUGUUGAAGAUUGGAAUAGAGUGGAUAGAUUUGGAGUAACUAGUAUUAAAAAAGAUAAACAACCCAGGCGCUAUCAUUUUUAUCUGGUGCAUGGGAAUAUUUACAAGCCGGGUGAUAUUUUCUCUGAGCCGGUAUUCGAUGGAAAGGCAAUCAUGGAGGUUGUAAGGAAUCGACUAAUUGGUGAGAAUUGGAUAUCAGAAAACGUCAUUGAAACACCUCUCAGAACUAAAUUCGAUCGUAGUCUAUACCACAGCUCCGAUCAAUUCAUUCAGCAAGUUGUUUCGGAUGCUCUGAACACAGAAGCGCCGAAACUCUUUAGGUUCCUGCAAUUCUUACA
rnacentral:misc_RNA from 1 species